UCCCUGGUGGUCUAAUGGUCAGGAUUCAGUGCUUUCAUCGCUGCGGCCCGGGUUUGAUUUCCGGCCAGGGAA